rnacentral:rRNA from 1 species
UACAGAGGUCUCAAGCGUUGUUCGGAUUCAUUGGGCGUAAAGGGUGCGUAGGUGGCGCCGUAAGUCGGGUGUGAAAUUUCGGAGCUUAACUCCGAAACUGCAUUCGAUACUGCGGUGCUUGAGGACUGGAGAGGAGACUGGAAUUCAUGGUGUAGCAGUGAAAUGCGCAGAUAUCAGGAGGAACACCAGUGACGAAGGCGGCUCACUGGACUGGUAUUGACGCUGAGGUGCGAAAGCGUGGGGAGCAAACAGG